GGGAGAGGAGAACAUGAAAUAAGUGAAAUGGAAAAAUGGAAUGAAGAGACUAUCAGAGAAGGGAUUAGAGGAACAAAGGGAAAAUGAUGAGAAACCCUUUCUCCCUUCUCUUCCAUAUUUAUCACUUUCCCACUCUAUUCCUUUCUUUCCUUGUCUUUCUUUCCACUCUCUUUUGUCACUAUAGGCAAUGGCUGGCUGGCGUGCAGAUAAACUGGCAACAAGCCAGUACAUGUGUAGCUGCUGAACAGCUCAGAGAUUAAGCAGUGUUCAGGGAUAGGGGUGGCAGAUAGUGAUUUGAGGAGAGUUUCUUUUUCUAGGAGGAAGAUUCAGAAGAAAAACAAUGAUCUUAAUAUUUUGUAAGCUUCAGACAUGUAGCAUGAAUCAGAACCAUAAAGGAAUCUUCCUCAUGAUGACUGUUAUUACUAGGCAUAAAUCUGGACUUUUAACCUUGUUUGCAAAAGUCAGUUUAAGAUGACUACUCGGAGUGUUUCCAUUGACUCCAAUGCACUUGGGAUCAGGCCUGAAUACAGUGAUGUUUGCUGGCAAGAAUGUCUGCAGAAACAGAAGGCAUUAUGCAAAUUAUCUCUGAAUAAUGAGCAGGUUAAGACAGAAGAUUCCCAAUGAUCUAAACACUAGUGGAGAUUUCAGAACUCGGGGAGAUUUUCAAAAGGCACAG